GUCUCAUUCGGUGUAUCAAUUUGUUUUUCAAUCUUCUUCUCCACCGCCCGAAAUUUCUUCUCCUAUUUCUCAUCUCUUUUUGGUUCAUCAUCUUCAGAAAUGUGUUGAGGGAGGGCUUGAGAAGAUUGGAAGCAAAAUUCUGCAGUUCGGAGGAUGAAGAAGACAAGAAACAACAAGCUCAAGUAAUUUCUCUUGACAGAUUGAAUUCACGCAAACAUCUUCUGGUUUGAAUUGCUCAAAGGAAUUAAAAAUGCUAAUAGGUCGAAUUUGAAGUGGUGGAUGAUGUAUAAAAUUGAAGGUGCAUGAUGGUGUAUUUUCUGGAACAUCGAGAUGAAGAGGCUAUAACCCUACUCGCUUUUGAGGACUCUUUGCAGUCUAUUUUGUGGAACAUUAAACUCGAACCCAUCAUAGAUUUCAGUUGCUUCUAUCAUUAGUGCACUAGAGUUAUCGUCCAAAUUUAAGCUACCCUUAGGCCACAUCUGAUACCUAGCCACUUAGAGUAUUACAAAUCUAACAACGCCACAUUUAACAAUUGAUGUGCAUAGUUAGAAUUUAGUUAAAAAAAAGAAAUUUAGGAGAACUAAUUUUUGUUACUCGUCUUUGGUGUCUCAUGUUUAUGUUAUUAUUAACUUUUUUUAAUCAUGUAAGACUCACAAGCAACGAUAAAGACUACAAACUUCGAUUCAACUCAACGAUGCAUUCUUCCUCUAUUUU